CACUGACCUGGGAGACUGAGGCAGGAAGAUCACAAAUUCAAAACCAGGUUCAGCAACUUAGUGAGGCCCUAAACAACUAGGGAGACCCUACCUCAAAAUAAAAAUAAAUAGGGCUGGGGAGGUAUCUCAAUGCUUAAGUGUCCCUGGACUCAAUUCUUGGUACCAAAAAAAUAGAUAAAUAAUUUUUUUUUUUUUUAAAAAGGGAGAUCAAUCUGAAAGCUUGUGAGUCUUCCACCAGGUUAGCCCAAAUCAGAAUGUCUGAGGGCAAAUCUUAUUCCUCUUUUAUCCUUUUGUGUUCUUAGGCAGAGUUAUAUAACCUGGGAGAGGCAAACAACUUCCUAUCCUUUUAUUUGCUGGAUGUUUUUCUUUUCUUUUUUUUAUGAGGGGGAGGGGGAUAUCAGGGAUUGAACACAUAGGGACUUUAUCAGGAAGCCACAUCUGCAGCCAUUUUUUUGUGUAUUAUUUAGAGACAGGGUCUUGCUGAAUUGCUUAGGGACUCACUAAGUUGCUAAGCUGGCUCUGAACUUCCGAUCCUCCUGCCCUAGCCUCCCAAGCUGCUGGGAUUACAGCUUCCUUGUGAUCAACCCUGAAGAGAUUUAUUCGACCAUCCUCUCCAACUGUGACAAUUUCUGGGUUGUCACACACAAUGCCUGUACAUGGGGCACUGCUAUAAGAAGGACUGCCAGGCCCCGUGUGGUAGUGGGCUGCUGUCCACUGCUGGUUGACUGACAGAGUCUAAGUAUUAGAAAUGAGGAUACUUUUUAAUCAAAGAGCAAGCAUUUUUCCUUAAGAGUAUUUUAAAAUUCUAUCUUGACUUUUCUAGAAAAAGAAUAACUCUUUUUUUCAUUUGUACUUUAGAUUAGUAAUGUUUAAAAACUACUAGAAGCUCCGUACACAAUGAAUUAGACUCACAAAAAAUGUUGUCCAAUAAUGUGACAUAUUCAUCUUAAAGCAAAGUAAUCAUUUUUAGAUAUCAAGCAGUUCAAUGUUCAAAAGCAGCUAUUUAAAUUCUUCUUUUUUCCCCUUGGUAUUGAGUACUAAACUCAGGAUCUUAUACAGGGUAGAUAAGCACUUUGAGUCAGGGUCUUACUAAGUUGCCCACUAAGUUACAUCCUGAGAUCUUUUUGUUUUUUACUUUGAGACAGGGUCUUGCUAAGUUUCCUGAGUAGCUGUGAUUAUAGGCAUAUAACAUUGUGCCCUGUUUACUCAUUAAAUUCUUUUGGGAAUGAUCUUCUA